CCCGACUACAUGAAGCUGGAAUCGCUAGUAAUCGCGGAUCAGAAUGCCGCGGUGAAUACGUUCCCGGGUCUUGUACACACCGCCCGUCACACCAUGGGAGUCGGAAAUGCCCGAAGUCGGUGACCUAACUGAAAGGAAGGAGCCGCCGAAGGCAGGUCUGGUGACUGGGGUGAAGUCGUAACAAGGUAUC
rnacentral:rRNA from 1 species